rnacentral:rRNA from 1 species
AUUGAACGCUGGCGGCAGGCCUAACACAUGCAAGUCGAGCGGAGCGGCGGACGGGUGCGUAAUGCCUAGGAAUCUGCAUGGUAGCGGGGGAUAACGUCUGGAAACGGGCGCUAAUACCGCAUACUAUCAGAUGAGCCUGGGGCGGAUUAGCUAGUUGGUGGGGUAACGGGCUACCAAGGCGACGAGCCGUAACUGGUCUGAGAGGAUGAUCAGGCACACUGGAACUGAGACACGGUCCAGACUCCUACGGGAGGCAGCAGGGGGGAAUAUUGGACAAUGGGCGAAAGCCUGAUCCAGCCACGCCGCGUGUGUGAAGAAGGUCUUCGGAUUGUAAAGCUCUUUAAGUUGGGAAGCGGUACCUACAGAAUAAGCAACGGCUAACUUCGUGCCAGCAGCCGCGGUAAUAC